GAUGAACGCUGGCGGCGUGCCUAAUACAUGCAAGUCGAGCGAACAGACGAGGAGCUUGCUCCUCUGACGUUAGCGGCGGACGGGUGAGUAACACGUGGAUAACCUACCUAUAAGACUGGGAUAAUUUCGGGAAACCGGCGCUAAUACCGGAUAAUAUAUUGAACCGCAUGGUUCAAUAGUGAAAGACGGUUUUGCUGUCUCUAAUAGAUGGAUCCGCGCCGCAUUAGCUAGUUGGUAAGGUAACGGCUUACCAAGGCAACGAUGCGUAGCCGACCUGAGAGGGUGAUCGGCCACACUGGAACUGAGACACGGUCCAGACUCCUGCGGGAGGCAGCAGUAGGGAAUCUUCCGCAAUGGGCGAAAGCCUGACGGAGCAACGCCGAGUGAGUGAUGAAGGUCUUCGGAUCGUAAAACUCUGUUAUUAGGGAAGAACAAAUGUGUAAGUAACUAUGCACGUCUUGACGGUACCUAAUCAGAAAGCCACGGCUAACUACGUG
rnacentral:rRNA from 1 species